GGAGAGGCCUAAAGCCACAGAAGCUGUGGAAGGCGCCAUCCUGCCUGUCACAGGAGGGGCCCUGGACUGAGAGGACCGGAGCUGACUGGGGAUUAUUCAAAGCCAAAAGCCAACAGAGCCCCCAUGGAGAAGUGGAGGAUGCUCAGAUGCUACUAUGGAGCCCUGAGAAGUGAAAUGGGCCCAAGCCCUUGCCCAGGAUAGAGCGCUCCAAGCGUGUCCUCCAGGGACCCUUUUAACCAGUGAAUUGUUCACCUCUCACUGUUUCUUCCCAACGGAGCUAAGAGACUUCUAGAGCCUCUUGUGAUGGUCAGCGAUAGCCCUGAGAUGGGCAUCCACUGGCUCACGUUAUAUUUCGGGACCAUUGUAAUUGUUCCAGAUGGGAGCCAAAUGAGGAAAACUUUGCGAAAUAAUUCUGAGUCCCUUGCUGGAAAGCCUCACCUGAAUGCAGCCCACACGUUUAUGAUACACUACAAAGGCUUCACGGUCAUGAGAUGCCUCUGUCCAAAGAAGAAGAGGAAGGGCACCCCUGCCUGCCCCGCAUCUCUUACCACCUCUCAUUUCUUCCCUCCUGGCACCAUCUACUGUCAAGAGCAGAAUCAGACUCCCUGAAAUAACUGAGACACUGACAUUC